ensembl:lncRNA
GUUUUUAUUCAACUAUAAUAUCUGAAGAAAGAGUUUUAUUUUUAGACAACUUUUAGUACACUAAAAGAACCCACAGAGUUCUCCACCAGGCUAUGGGCCAUUCAUUAAAGAAUGCUGUAGUCAUAGUGUAAUAGGGAGCACACUGGGAUUGGAGAGCUGGCUUCAACUGUGUGACCUCAGUGAAGUCAUUCAAACCAUGCAAAGAUAUUUUUUUAACCAUAAAACAGGUCAAUAAUACUUUCUCUGCAAAGUUCUUAUGAGGCUCAAAAGAGAUAAUACUUUAGAAAAAAAAUGACCUUUUGUGGAAGUUAAAUUCGUAAGAGGCAUUGUAGCUAUGCCUUAUAAAUUUCCUUGUGUAUUACUUAAAAAUGAUGUUGUAUCUAAGUAGAGUCUUUAUUGUUUUAGGUUGAUUUUGAUUGUUCUAAGCACUUUAUUGGUAAUAACUGAUACUAGCAUAUAACAAUGACAAAUUAUAUACAAUUAUAUACAAAUAUUUUAUAUAUGUAUUAAUUAUAUAAUUAUAUACUUAUACAAAUAAAUAUGGGUGUGUGUUUACACACAAACAAUACCAAAAAGAAAAUGUAAGAACCUGAAAUUUGACCUGGGCAUUCAUUUUUGACAUAAAGCUGAUAACAAGUUUAGCACCAGUUAAAGAAUGUGGUAGCAAAGAAAGUAUCUCUUUUUCAAACUUAUUUAUUCUCAGUACCAGAAUGGUCAAGACAUGCCUAAGGCUUUGCGGUUGAUGUCUCUUGAGCAGAAGAUCAAUUCUGAUUUCUGCCCUGUCUGGAGACUGUCCAAAGAGAAAGGCAAAGGUCUUAGUUGAACAGCAUCUUUCACAUUGACCUGUACAUGUAUUUGAAUCAGUAGCACUAUUUAAAUAAGAAUCAGAGGUGAUCUGUUUUGAGGACUCUCAUGCAGUCACAGUCAGAUGGAGGCUGAGCCUCCAGUCAUGUAAAGGCUUAUCUUGGCUGCUUAUUAAAAAUGGGUCACUAAUAUGGCUGGUGAUUAAUGAUGACUGUGCACUGGAAGCCCAGGUAAGUCUGCUGACUAAAGAACCUACAUAUGUUGGCCGAACUCUCCAUGUGCAUUGGGUUCCCUCAGAAUGGUUUGGUUGCAAAAAGAGCCCAAAAAUAAGUAUUCCAGGAGAUCCAGAAAUAAGCUAUAAAGCUGCUUGUAACUUAGCCCCAGAAGUCACAGAAUUUCACUUCUGCCACAUUUUAUUGGUCAAAUAGCCUACAUUCAAGACGGGUUAUUAGACUUUAUCUUUUGCUGUAGGAGUAGUGAGAUCACAUUAAAAAGAACAUCUGAUAUGAGAUACAUUUUUAGACUAUUCUUGGAAAAUACCGUCUUCCACAUCUUCUGUGGUAAGAAUGCUCAUUGUUUUGUAAUAUACAUUCUCUUAUUCCUUUAAAGACUAAUUCUCAGAGUUAUAACUGGGCCCACAGCUAUUUCACUAAAGACUUCAUUUUCUAGCUGUCUUUCUCUCUUUAAGCUAAUUGUAGCCAUGAGAUAAAGUUCCAGCCAGGAAAUGUGAAUGAAGUGAUAUGCACAUUUUCCAGACCCUUGCUUAAAGUGAAGUUGCUUGCCUGUCAUUGACUUCUCUCACCCUGUUUCUACUAGCUUAGAAAUGAUGACAAUCACAGCUGUCAUAGAAGCCCCAUUUUCAUGACAGUGGAGUCUCUGUCUAAAAUCCUUGAGCUUUGUAUCUUGGAUUUGUUUCAUAAGAGAAAAAUAAUGUAUGCAUUCCAUUCUAUACUCUGCCUACACCUACCCUAAUUUGCCUACUACCAAGCACAAUAGCUAUCUAUCUUGAUCAAGAAAUUGUAUUGAUAGGUCUCUUCAUCAUAGCAGCUUUUGCCACUUUUAGAUUUGGCACCUUCAUAUACUAUUUCCCAAGUCUCUAGAGUAAUUAUACACUCUUAUAUGGCAACUUUUCCGGAUUAGGCUGAAAUCCACUAAUGUAGGAGAUUGUGAUAUAGUAAAUAAUAGCUGGUGUUACUAACCUAUAAAGUAAGUUACAUGUUUACUUUUAAAAGUUAACUUGCUAUACCAUCAAUAAUCUCUUCACCAAUCACUAAUAACUUUAAAAGUUUAUUGCUCAUAACAAUUUUCCCAGAGGGUGUAGGCAAAUAUGGUUGGUGUAGACAUAGAAAGAAUGAAAAGAAAAAAUAGAAUUUUGCAAGUUGAAGGCAAAUUCAAUUUUAUGAAUUCAAAACCAUCAUCUUGUUGA